AGAGUUCGAUCUUGGCUCACGAGGAACGCUAUCGGCUUGCCUAGAUCCAUGUUAGUCGAGCGGACCUUUCAAGGUGUCGCUGCGGACGGGUGAUUCAACCUGGGCAAUCUGCCCGAUACUCUGGUAUCACGAUUGGAAACGAGUGCUAAUACCGGAUGGUCUUCUUGGCCGCAUGGCCUACAAGGAAAAGACGCGUUCGCAUCUGUGUCUGAUGAGCCCGACGCGCAUUACCUAGUUGGUGAGGUAACCGCCCACCAAAGCCACGAUACGUAUCCCACCUGAGAAGGUGACCGGCCACUCUGGGACUGAUACACCGGCCAUACUCCUACCGGAAGCAUCAGAAAGGAAUCUUCUACUCUGAGCGAAAGCCUGAUGGAACAACACCGCUUGAGUGAUGAAGGCCUUCAUGUUGUACAACUCUGUCAUUCAUGACGAAUCCGAGUCUGAUGAAAUGACUACUCUCUGACCGUACCGGAGGAGGAAGCCCCGGGUAAUCUACUUGCCAGCUGGCGCGGUAAUACUUAGGGCGCAUACGCUGUCCCGAUUCACUGGGCCUAAAGCGCGCGCACGAGGUGAUGUAAGUCUGACUCUAAAACCGCAACUCAAAUUCGGGACUGCCUUGUAUACUUUGUCGCUUGAAGAACAAAAAGGCAUGGGGAAUUUCCACCUAACCUGUGAAAUGCUUAUAGGGGUAAAGGAACCCCUGUGGCCAAAGGCCCCUUGCCUGGACUAUUUAUGAUCCUUAGGCCUAAAAGGUUUGGGGAGCAACACGAUUAAAUUCCCU
rnacentral:rRNA from 1 species